rnacentral:lncRNA from 1 species
GUCAACGGAUCAUCAGCGAUCAUAAUCACGCCAAAAUUGACGUUGGAGGAGUUUGUUCGGCGGGCUUCCGCAACUUUGACGGCGGUAGGUUUGUCACCGGAGAUGACGUCAUGGAAGUAAAAGUGGAGGUGGGUGAAUUUAUCCGGCUUGUAGCCUUGACACGGCUUUGUUGUGGAGUAAGCUUCGGAUUCUGUAACGGAUACGGAAAGAAGUAGAAUAGUUGACAAAAGAGGAAGAAGAAGGAGAAAACGUUUAGCCAUGUUAGUGAUAUGAUACUGUUGGAAAUGAAAAUAUGAUUUAUAUAUACACAAAGCAAAAUCAGUACUCUAUUGUUGGUUUAUAUUACAUUUGAAUAUGUCGUUUUCAGAUAUGACAUUACCAUGAUUCAUACAGGUAUAAACAACUAGAUAUUUCCACCUGUAUGAAUCAUGGUAACGUUAUAUCGGAGUUUUUUUAAUAAAGGUCCAAUGGUUAGAAGAAUUCUAAUGCUCUACUGCGAUAUGGGAUUAGUCUAGGUUUCGGUAUGGGAUUCUCCCGUUUAACAAAAAAAAAGAAAAGUACUGUAUUUGAUAGUAAUUUAAAAUAGGUAUAAAUAAAAGUACGUAGUUGAUAAUUAACACAAAUAAGAAUAAAAAUAAAAUUCUGCAUUGUGCGCUACAUAAUGAUGUAAAUAAAUAUAUAAAAUAAAGGUAUGUAGUAGUUGAAAGAAAGAUGUAAGACAUUCUUGUCUACAUUAAUGUAAGACAAAGUCAAUAAUACUACUGUUCUCUAAUUAAUUAUAUUUCCUUUUGGUACACCAUGAAUGAUCCAUCCACUUUACAAAGACACUACAACUUUUUGAGACGGCUUCUGUUUGGAACCACGCCAAUUAUUCAAUUACAAAUGAUUCCACCCAUGCGUAAAACACACCAUUUUUUAAAAAGAUUAACUAAUUGUUUGGUUUAGUUGGUCAAGUUUUUAUUAUAUUACUUUUAACCACACUAGUGAGAUUGUAUGGUUGAACCUUUGGUUUCUUAAAAUUUGCUUUAAAAGAAUUAUAUAAAUUAUCUUAUAACUAAACGUAGAUAAUCUUUAAGAAUAUAUAUACACUAAUAUACAUGCAAAAUACAUGGGUUUUUUUUUUGUUACUUGAUGUUGUGAAGUCAAACAUUUUCAAAUACAAUUAAAGAAAAAUACAAUGCGUAAUACUAUAUAAUUAGGAAAUUAUGUUUAAGAAAGCGUUAAGGACUGAGUGGACAACAACACAUCGCCUACACCAAAAUUUAAUCAAAAUAAAACGAUUAAAGACGGUUGAUGUAUCUAUGGAAUGGUAUAUAAUGUAUAUGAUACAUCAAAUUAAAGUAAAAACAAAAAAAAACCAAUAAUUAUAUGUAGUCUAAUAAUAAAAAUAUUGAUUUGGUUAAGAAUAUAAAACUUACUUAUUUUUGACGAAGCCAUAUCAUAGACUUCUUAAAAUUUCAAAUUUUAGGGGUUCAUCGUCUUAUAUAAAAGAUAAUCUUGAAAAUAAAAUUAUAGGAAAUUAGAUGAAGUCAAAUUAAUAUAAGUUAAAGAGAAAUUAUAAAUAUAUAUUAAAUGAAAAUAUAUAAACACAUAAGUCAUAUAACCCACGUAGGCGACGCCAAGUCUGUUUACACUCCAUCUUUUUCCGUUUAAAAGCCAUAUUAUAUAAAUAUGAUGAAGAUACAAAUGAUGGAGAUCAAUGAAAUGAUUCCAAAAACUAAGCCGAGGGAUAACAGAAUAUCUUCAGACACUAUGCCCAAAAGAGGGGAGCCGAAACUAAAAUAAAAGAAAUCAUACAAUAUAAUCAGAAUCAGGCACUAACUAAAACGCCUAUCACCAAACCAUUUUAGAGAAAAGCUUGAUAAAGUGACUAACCUAAAGGGGCUAGUAACUCCACCACAACGGAGAGCGGUUUUCCCUUUAACAAAUGAAGACUAUCUCAUUGAAAAGUAGAACAAAUGCAUUUAUUGAGGAUAUACGGACCGGUUUACAUCUAGUUAUUUUCGGUAAUGUUAGGGAAAAUACCAAAAAAAUAUAUCAAUUAUUUUUAAUUUAUACGUUUAAUAUUCAAUUAUUUUUUGUUGAAAGAUUAAUACAUAAAGUAAUAAAACUGUGUAAUUUAAUAUCCAAACCAUUAACUGUUGUUAUUUUCAUUCUCACGAUCUUACAACAAAAAUAAAAUUUCAAUUUUACCUUUACCAUCUCAAUUUUUUCUAGAGGUGGAUCUAUCAGUCCAACCGUCUAUGUCUCUCCAGGGAAUUCACGAAUCGAUCGAUCCAGAGGUGGAUCGAUCGAUCCCACCGUAUAUGUCUGAAACGUUGAAGUACGGACCGAUCGGUCCAACCGUCUAUGGCCGAUUUGUUGUAGCCUGGACCAAUCGGUUUACCCCGUCUUCUCUCCGCUUCAGCUUUUCUCGUUCUUUCUCGACCCGAAUAAACUCAAAACUAUCUAAUCCAUUCACAAGUACCUAAAACCUGCAAAAGACUCAAGACUUGAUCAAAAAGACGUAAAAACGGACUACGACAUGAUAAAUGACUCAAAACGAAGGUUAGACAAGAGAUCUAAGACACCAAAAACGCAACAUAUCAAUAGUCUUAUCACUUAUGUUACCAUGAAAUAAACAUAUAAUGUAGUUACAAACUUACAAUGUUUUUUAGAUGAUUACUAAUGUACUGGAAUUUGUAUAUCACAAUUCUUUUAAGUUAUUCAAGGCACUAGUGGAGAAAGAUUCAAGGCACUAUUGGAGAAUGCUUUUCUCUCAAAUUUGGCUCAUUUUAUAUUGACAAUGGAGGCAAGUAUCUAGCACUGGCAAACUUCCUUGCAUAUCACGGCAUCAACCAUUACAAAACACCACCACACACUCCGAAGCAUAAUGGUUUUUCUGAAAGAAAGCAUCGUCAUAUCCUAGAGACAUGCUUGUCUUUACUUAUUCACGCUUCCAUGCCCGUCAAAGACGAUGCUUAAACAAGUUCUGCAAGCAUGUAUCGACGAGCUGGGGCAGUUUCUUCUCAGUGUUGGGUUUAGUCUUAUCUCCGCAAGGUUCAGAUUUAAAGAUGUUCUUACCAAGGCUUUACCACGGACGCAGUUUCAUCUUCUCUUUGACAAGAUUAGACUCACAAAUGGUGGUUCAUCUUGAGGGGGCAUAUAAUGAUAUAUUAUAUAUCUUCAUCUUACUAUUCCUGUGUACAUUUUCCUUUCCUCUAGAUAUACCCUAUGCACACCUCACCAAAAAAAUUAUAACCACUUAUAUUAUACGAAUGCCAAAUCUCGAUAUAACAAUUUAAUUAAAGUAAUAAAUGUUAAUGAAUUUAGGACAUUUCAACCAUAUAUUUACUCUAUCACCAAUAUCUACAUCUUACUUGCCCCAUACUCACCCUUAAUUAGUACGAACAGAAAUUUCAAGUAACUACGAGACUCUCACACAUCUGACAUCUUAAUUCUCAAAAUAUUCAGACAAACAACACCUUUUGAACUUUAAACGAUCCACAACAAAAACAGAACAAUUGUUAUAUAUAUAUAUAUAUAUAUAUAUAUAAAAGAACCAAAAACAAUAUAAGAAAACCAAAGUGAAACAAUUUGUUUCGGAAAGACAUUAGACAAUAUGCAAAUGAUUAAUGCCAAAUGAAGACAUUAUACUCGACCACGGCAUCUAGACCAACAAUCUUAUAAGUCUUGGGCAGUGCAUAGCCUCUAGCAAACCUGAAAGCACCAGUUCCUCCAAUAAUCGGCAACUCUCUCACCUUCGAAAAUAUAUCAUUCCGUCCAUACACCGCGAUGGUGCUUCCAUUAAACUCUCCUGCCGUGAAAACAUAGUUAAAGACCAUUGUGAAGACUAUGUCCUUCAUGGCUGUUGAUGCGUACAUCCCCUGAGCUCUUCCCACUUCCUUUGAGCUCGGGUCUGGUCCUUCGGUCAACGGAUCAUCAGCGAUCAUAAUCACGCCAAACUUGACGUUGAGGGUGGUUGUUGGGCGGGCUUCGGCAACUUUGACGGCGGUAGGUUUGUCACCGGAGAUGACGUCAUGGAAGUAGAAGUGGAGGUGGGUGAAUUUCUCCGGCUUGUAGCCUUGAUACGGCGUUGUUGUGGAGUAAGCUGUGACGGACACGGCAAGAAGAAGAAUAGAUGAC